AGGCACAGCGACGGCUGGGUGCCCUUGGUUGAUCCUCUCUCUCAGCCUUAGGAGGAAAAACACUUCCCCAAAACCUUGCCCCCAAAACUUCAGGGAUUUGUUCAGGCAAUCACCAGGAAUCAAAAACUAACUUAAAGACACCCAGAAGGGGUGGAAAAAGUCUCAGGUUAACUAUUGGAACGAAAUUCUAGAUACCUUUUUCCAUUGGCAAUCAAACCCAGAAAAAUGAGAUUUUUCUAGAAAAUAGACACAUUUUCGAUCUUAUUAAAUAUCAGGGAUACUUCAGUCUAGUAGUUUACCAUUAAUGAAUUGCCAGUGCCUUAAAGAAGAGGGUGGGUUUUAGUUCCUCUUCUUUCUCUCCCCCUUCCCAGUUUUAAUUCUUGGUACCUUUGGUUAAACCUGUCUCUCCCACCUGGGAACCAAGCUGAUUGAAAACUUUGCAGGCUGCAGUCUUAACGUUUCUGAAGGGAACUGCUGACCAAGCUUGAAGAAGAUCAUACAAGUAGUCCUCGCCUUACGACUGGUUGCUUAGUGAUCAUUGGAAGUUACAACAACCUCCCUGCGGGGCACUCACAACCCAGUUAUGACAACUGGGGUGUGGCAGUCACAUGACCUUGUGUCAGGCGCUUGUCAACUGGCCUGCAUUUAUGGCCAUUUGCUGCAUCCCGUGGCCACAUUACUUGUUUCACAGUGUUUUUGCAAGAAAGGCAUUUAGUGGUUUUCAGCAAAUCCUAGCCCAUAGCAAACCGUUUGUUUACUUAACAACCGCAACCACUGUAAAAGGUCACACAAUCAAAUCAGUCACCUGGGUGAUCCAGUUUAUGACUGUUACGGCAUAUAAUUGUGAUUAGCAGGCUGCAUUAUGGUUGUAAGUCAAGGACUACAUGUAAUGUGUGACAGGAGAAGUGAACCGCAUAUAAAUUUCAGUUAAUGAAAACACCCAAUUAUUUGAAUGAGGGAGAAAGAUCUAAGAUGGUGGGUUUUUUUUUUCAUUUUGUUAAAAUGAUGCAAAAGGAUAGCACUAGUGCAGCACUUCUGAAUGCAUUCAGAUACAGUUAAGUGAAAGUUUUUGAGAAUUAUUUGGUAGGUUUGAACACUAAUUGCAUUAAAAGAAGGAAGACACUGCAAAUAUAGAACUACACAAGACUAUCUCGGCUCCUGUAGCCUAUAUUUCUACCUCUGCGAUGAUCAAAGAGGAUUGGAUACAGUUUAGAGAAGGAGCUGCAGUGACGCUCUGUUUAUUUCAAGAUAUCUGCCUCCACUUCCAUGCCUCCUUUCUCUGAAUUUUCUUAAUCAAGAAGGCAAAUGACAGAUUUCAAGUUACAAGGAGUCCUUUUCAGGAAGGAAUAUUUGAAAGAAAGCAAAAAGCGAAAUCUGAAAAUGUUAUUCCAGUUGGCUCAGUUGUGCAAGUUUGCACAUAAACAGUCUGUGUGCUGUGGCAUUAGAAAGGUAAAAUUGUACAAAAACAAAGAAAUUGAUGUUCCUAUUUACGGGAGAUUCCUAUUUAUAGAUUAGGGUACAGGGGAAGGCACUGAAAAAAAAUCUGCAAUUGACAAUCUGUGCAGUCUGAGCAAUUGCGAAAGCAGGAUGCUAAUAGUUGGGAGUAGGAGCAUAAGUUAGUAUUCAUGCCCACAUCCAGAAGGUCUUAGGAUCAGCCCCUGGCACCCCCUGUUGAGCAGCAUCGGAAAGGAAAUGAGGGGAAAAACAUUUCAAAGACCGAAUCCGAGUGCCAGUAAGAACAGACUGGAGGGGACUGGAUGGACCCCAUUAUAUCAAGUUCAGACUUGAUAUAAUGUAACUCCCUAUAUUGGAAUUUCUCAGCUCUCCUUGCUCCUCAAUUUCUUCUCUUUUAUGAUUUUUUUAAGUUAGGUGGGAUUUUCAGGAAACAGACCUGCUUACAGCAAAGAAACAAGCAGCCCAAUUCCUAUUUCUGCAGAUUAAGUCAGAAUGGUUUUGUCGAGAAGUCUAUUUGCAAAUUAAAUCAAGCUGCAUCUGCUCCAAUGUCUUGGGUGAUUUGCUGGUUUUGUUCCUCUUAACUACCUUGUCAAUGAGACUAGGCAGAUACCUAGACGUGACCAAGAAGUAACUUGGCUGUGAAAAGCAUAAAAUUGGUGGGAAAGAGUUCAUUUUUUCCAUCCCAUUUUCCCUACUCUUCAAUACUAAAGCACUGACCUAUUCACAGACCCAGAACUGCAAAGUACUAUUACCUAAUCAACCAAUGGUAUUUAUCAGGAAGAGUGCACCCAUCUCAAGAUUGGAUUGGCCCUAACCUUGCCAACUUUUUAGAAAGCGUUGAAAAACGCACAUUUGUUCCUGGGUGUACAGGAGUGGAAGGGUUUGGGGGGGGGUUGUGAGUUAAUCAUUUUGAAUUAUUACAGAUUAGUGUCUUUCUUUGGUGAUCAUUAAAUGUAUGCUGGGCUUUUUAAAAUGUCUUAUGUAUAUUGUAUAUGGUUAGUCACCCAAAAUCUCUAUAAUGAGAUGAGUGGCCAUAUGAAUUGUUUACAGGUAAUCCUCGGCUUACCACCAUUCAUUUAUUGACUGUUCGAAGUUGCCACAGGACUGACAAUAGUGAUUUAUGACCAUUUUCCACACUUAACGAAAGUUGCAAUACCGCUCUCCCCCCACGGUCACAUGAUCAAAGUUCAGGCCUUUGGCAACGGAUUGAUAUUUGUGACGGUUGACGUGUCUCGGGGUCAUGUGAUCAACCUUUUACGAUCUUCUGACAAACUAAGUCAAUGGAGAAGCCAGAUUCAUUUAACAACCAUGUUACUAACUUAACUGCUGCAAUGAUUGACUUAACAAUUGUGGCAAGAAAGGCUGUAAAAUAACCUUCUCGACUUACAACAGUUCACUUAGUGACCGUUUGAAGUUACAACGGCACUGAAAAAAGAAAAAAAAAAUCAGAGCUGAAGAAGCUUCUUGGAUGAGAAGUGAAACAUCUUGAAAGAAAAACCAGAAAGUCCAGUUGCUUUGGGACAACUAUGAUCUGGAUGACUGAGAAUCUCCAUAGACAUUUGGCACCGGAAAAAGUGGCUGGUGACCAUUUUUCAGACUUGCGACUGUUGCAGUAUCCCCGUGGUCACAUGAUUUACAUUUGGAUGCUUGACAGCUAAUUCACCACUUAAGAUGGUUGCAGCGUCCCUGGGUCAUGUGAUCCCCUUUUGCAACCUUCUGACAAGCUAAGUCAGUGGGGAAAUUAAGGGAAAUCAGAUUCCCUUAAUAACUGGGUUACUAAUUUAACAACUGCUGUGAUUCACUCAACAAAUUUCUCACUCAGCAGCAUAAAUUUUGGCCUCUGAUGUGGUCGUAAAUUGAGGACUACCUGUAUAAUCUGGAGAUCACCCCGGUGUUUCCUUCCUUUGGCCUCGAGUUUAUUAUUCUGGUUUCUCUGGAGUUCAGUUGCUGACUGUUGGUAGGAUUCCAUCUCUUGACUUUUCAUCAACCCUCUCCUUUUAUUUUCUCCCUUCCUUCCAGGAUAUGGACAAGACUUGAGUGGCUUUGGACAAGGCUUUGCCGACCCCAGCCAACAGCCCCCCUCCUAUGGAGGCCCUUCAGUACCACCCUCAAGUGGGCCGCCCGCAGGGGGCAGUGGUUUUGGCCGUGGACAGAACCAUAACGUUCAAGGUUUUCACCCCUAUCGACGCUAGCGUGCCCACCUAGAAAUCAGGGAGUUCUGUCCAGAGCAGGAUAUCUGGUAUCAGCUGAAACCCAGGAAGCCCAGACUUAUGAACUUGUGACAAUCACCUACUUUACCAGAGGGGGGAGGGGGGACCACAAAUGUAACAUCUUUUGGAGGGGUGUUGGGGGAGAAAGAGGAGGCAGCUUUUGAAAGCAAAGUUGUCAGUGGUGUUUGGACUGCAUUUUUUUUUAAACAAAAAUCUUUUCUUUAACCCAUCAGCACAAAAUAAAGAGUGUCACUGGUUCAAACUACAGGGUUUUAAAAAUGUCUUCAGCUUUAAUUAAAAAAAAAAUCUUCAGGUUUCUUUAUUUUUGUUGAAAAUUUUAUUUUUUUUCCUGAGCCUUUGUUUUACCAUAUAUUGUAAACUUUUAUGUUCAAAGAAGAAGAAAAAUAUAUACAUUUACAGAUUGUGAGAUUUUUAAGAGAAAUUUUCUACUAUGUAUGCAGGCUUAUUUUUUAAUUUAAAAGAAAAAAAAAACAGGGUUUCCAUUAGCACUGCUUAGAGGGUCAAGUUUUGAACCUCCUUUUGUUAAUGUGUGGUUGGUCCAGAAACUGGGAGUUAUUUAACAAAAAAAAAAAAGUGGGAAGUGGAAAUAGGAAAGGAAUUUUAAGUAUGUCCGUUUGUCAUUUUGUUACUGGUUUUGGAUCUGAUUAAAAAGUCCAGGAGCAGAGUUGUUUGCAAGGGAUCACCGUAUCACUUCUUGAAGCACAGCAUUUCAAUUGAGGCUUCAUGUUCUUAAAAAAAAUUCUUUGGGGAUAUGAAUUUCUUUAAGGGGGUUAAUGGAAGCCUUGCGAAGAUGUAGAUUUCCCUCAGGCAAAAAAAAAAUAAAAAAAAAAUAUGGGGGUGCAUUUUGCACUAACCAGCGAUUACCCCUGGUUUGAAUAAAGAAAAGUACAUUUGGAUUAGAAAUGCAAA